rnacentral:rRNA from 1 species
AUUGAACGCUGGCGGCAUGCCUUACACAUGCAAGUCGAACGGCAGCACGGGAGCAAUCCUGGUGGCGAGUGGCGAACGGGUGAGUAAUGUAUCGGAACGUGCCCAGUCGUGGGGGAUAACGUAGCGAAAGCUACGCUAAUACCGCAUACGAUCUAUGGAUGAAAGCGGGGGACCGUAAGGCCUCGCGCGAUUGGAGCGGCCGAUAUCAGAUUAGGUAGUUGGUGGGGUAAAGGCCUACCAAGCCGACGAUCUGUAGCUGGUCUGAGAGGACGAGCAGCCACACUGGGACUGGGACACGGCCCAGACUCCUACGGGAGGCAGCAGUGGGGAAUUUUGGCCAAUGGGCGCAAGCCUGAUCCAGCAAUGCCGCGUGCAGGAUGAAGGCCUUCGGGUUGUAAACUGCUUUUGUACGGAGCGAAAAGGCUCUCUCUAAUACAGGGGGCUCAUGACGGUACCGUAAGAAUAAGCACCGGCUAACUACGUGCCAGCCGCCGCCGUAAAAC